rnacentral:rRNA from 1 species
CUGGGCGUAAGCGCACGCAGGCGGUCUGUUAAGUCAGAUGUGAAAUCCCCGGGCUUAACCUGGGAACUGCAUUUGAAACUGGCAGGCUUGAGUCUCGUAGAGGGGGGUAGAAUUCCAGGUGUAGCGGUGAAAUGCGUAGAGAUCUGGAGGAAUACCGGUGGCGAAGGCGGCCCCCUGGACGAAGACUGACGCUCAGGUGCGAAAGCGUGGGGAGCAAACAGGAUUAGAUACCCUGGUAGUCCACGCCGUAAACGAUGUCGACUUGGAGGUUGUGCCCUUGAGGCGUGGCUUCCGGAGCUAACGCGUUAAGUCGACCGCCUGGGGAGUACGGCCGCAAGGUUAAAACUCAAAUGAAUUGACGGGGGCCCGCACAAGCGGUGGAGCAUGUGGUUUAAUUCGAUGC